rnacentral:lncRNA from 1 species
AAUAAUUUCACAACAACAUGCACACCUCACAUACAUAGAUCUCACCAAAUAUAUACAUAUACACACUCACAGAGAAGGGGGAGCAAUAUUCAAGCCUCACACAAUCAGGGGAACCCACAGUCUUCUCUCAUCUGGAAUAACAGAAUACUCCACACACUCCUAUUUUUUGAGACUAAGAUAUAUCCUCACCAAUGAAUACACUAGGUUGUAUCUCCCUUUGUUUUACACACUCUAUAUGCACACCCACCGGAGUUUCAAGUAAAAAAAGGUCGAACCCUGUAGUUUGAGUAGAAAGAGAGCGAACGAUGGACUGAGAUCAGUCGAGAAGUGCUCGAAACAGUGAAUCCGAUCGCAUCUCACUGGAAUCCAAUCCAUUUUUCAUUGUUCUUGAUGCCGUUGAGUUCGCCUGAUCUCCGACCACUCGAGUUUUAGCUUGUUCUCUCGUCUAAUUUGGUUGGUCAGCUAUACAAGUUUCUUUUCAGUUUUUCUUCGCAAUUUCAAUCUCAGUUUUCUUUUGAUCUUUCUUCAUUCUUGGGUUAAAUCUGUCCGAGUUGCUAUUCCCGAUAUCGAGUUGGCUGCAGAGUUUCAUUAUUGAGGUCGAAGUCGAGGUUAUCGGAAAGCGGGUUUCUUUAUUUUAUCAAACAGUAUUCUUCGAAAGUUUCGAAUCAAGGUCCAUUUUUCAUCCCUUACUCGAGUAAUUUUAAAUUUUUAAUACUUUGUGUGGCGAAUUAAUAAUGUGUGGACUUUGCUUUGGGUGAUAUUGAUUUAUGUUGCUUAUUUCGUUGAAGAAAUGGUUGUGGACUUGAAUUGUUGAAAUUUGGUGUUAAAAAGAAAUUUAUGAUGGAAUCGAGGAGUUGAUAAAAAUAGAAUUGAGAUUAACUUGGGUUUAUUAUUGUCUUGUUUAAUUCGGUAUAAGCAUGAAUAUUGUGUGAACGUGAUAAUAUCAUGAUUAGGCCAUCGAAUGAAUAGGCAAAAGUUAGAUUCGGGCAAGCAAACUUAGAAAUGAUGUUUUGGUUGAAUGCGUGAAAUGUUGAAUAUGUUGGAGGUUUCCUAGUUUAUCACAUGAGAUUGAUAUUGUAUUCAUUUGCCGGGGAAUGCCCCGAAGGAAUUGUAUUUAUUCACCGGGGAUGCCCCGAAGUAUCAUGUACUUGAAGACGGUGCACGAUCAAGGCCCAAAACAUCGGGUUGAGAAAGAAAUGGAGCGUAGUUUAGAAUUAGCCUAGAAUAGAGUAGGUUUAUUUUUCGCAUUUUUCUAUUUCGGGACUGUAUAAUUGGACUGGACAUUAAAUUUUGGAUUUUUUUUUUGUUUGCUUUUGUUUUGUUUGCUUGAUUGAUUGUUUUGCGUGCUUUGUGUGGUUUAUACAUUCGUAGUGUCAAAUUAACCGAUAUGCUCCACCGAGCGACCGUGGUCGAACCACGAAAUCGAGGGGUGCCUAACACCUUCCCCUCGGUCAACAGAAUUCCUUAGCCAGAAUCUCUAUUUGCAGAUCAGUUUUAGAGUCAAAUCAUUUUGAAAAGGAUUUUCCAAAGGUGACUUGGCACACUGGAUUAUGUCAAGUGGCGAAUCUGAAUAAAAAAUGUAAAUAAUUCUUUUUUGAAACAAAUUUUAAAUCUUUUGUCACUUUAAUAAUAAAAAUUCUUUCGAAAUCUUGAUGUAGACACGUAAUUUCGUCCCUCCCCGAUAUCGUUUUACCCAUUUUUACCUUAUCCUAUCGUGUACCCUCACCCAUGUAAUUACAUCCCACAAAAAUACAAAAAUAACUCUCAACAAAAUCUCUAACAAACUUUUAUUCUUUUUAACAUCCUAACAACCCUUUCAAUUAAAAGAAGACACAUUGCCUAUACCCCUACCCCCAACACCCUAUACCCACGUGACCCCAUCCCCCUCAUAUUUCUUGUCCACAAAGGUAAAAAGGGGGCCAUUUUUUUUUUUUUGCUGAUUUUUGCUUCUUCUUCAUCAUCUUCACGCACACAAUCUUCUACACGGUCAUACUCCUAAUUUCCAUUCUAGAAUACACCAUCUUCCAUAUACUCUCAAUUUCUAUGAACGGCAUGGACAGGACCUCAUAUAU